rnacentral:rRNA from 1 species
UACGUAGGGGGCAAGCGUUGUCCGGAUUUAUUGGGCGUAAAGAGCGUGUAGGCGGCUAGACAGGUCCGCUGUGAAAACUCGAGGCUCAACCUCGAGACGUCGGUGGAAACCGUUUGGCUAGAGUCCGGAAGAGGAGAGUGGAAUUCCCGGUGUAGAGGUGAAAUUCGUAGAUAUUGGGAAGAACACCGGUGGCGAAGGCGGCGACCUGGUCCGAUACUGACGCUGAGGCGCGAAAGCGUGGGGAGCAAACAGG